UGUCUCCUUAAACAGGAUUCUAAACAUAAUUUCAUCUUUUCCAAGCCUCUAGUCAUCUUCACAAGCGUGGCCUCCUGUGCUGUGAAAUGCUGCCCUUGCUCUGGGCGGCCCUCUGUGCUCCCUCUCCACAGAUGUACAUCUGCUUGCUGAUCCAUGACGUCCCCAAAUAUUGUGGGCACGGUAAUGCUGCUACAAACGUUGUCCUACAGACAUACGUGCUGAAUUUGGAAAAUCGAGGUUACUGGCUACCUGACAUCCAGAUGCCCAAGGUAUUUUUGUGUGAAGACAACUCGGGGCUGAAAAUUGGUUUGGGGAAGAUGAACCAAAUAACAUCUACUCUAUCUCAUGUGGAAUCAGGGAGGAAGACAGACUACUCUCCCUAUGGCACAUCUCAGGGAUCUUAGAAAGUCCUGUUGGCUUCCCCUUCCCCAAUCCUGUCUGUGCUUUGAUUAAUGCAAAAAAGCAAGUCUCCAGGGGCACCUGGCUGGCUCAGUCAGAAGAGCGUGUAACUAUUGAUCUCAGGGUCAUGAAUUCAAGCCCCACGUUAGGUGUAGAGAUUAUUUAAACAAAUAAACUUAAAAAAAAAAAAAGCAGAUCUCCAGCAGAGGACAUAUGAACUAUGUAAGCUUGUAUUAAAAGUCAUUUAUUUAUAAAGAAUGUUUUUCUUGUAUGCUUCUUUUUAAAAUAUCUCAAAUGCACUGCAUUGGAUGAA